ACCGUGGCUAAUACCGGAUAAUACUUUUAUACAACGGUAUAAAAGUUGAAAGAUGGAUUUCUAUCACUUAAGGAUGGGCCUGCGGCGCAUUAGCUAGUUGGUAAGGUAACGGCUUACCAAGGCGACGAUGCGUAGCCGACCUGAGAGGGUGAUCGGCCACACUGGAACUGAGACACGGUCCAGACUCCUACGGGAGGCAGCAGUAGGGAAUCUUCCGCAAUGGGCGAAAGCCUGACGGAGCAACGCCGCGUGAGUGAAGAAGGGUUUCGGCUCGUAAAACUCUGUUGUUAAGGAAGAACGACAGUAAGAGUAACUGCUUACUGUGUGACGGUACUUAACCAGAAAGCCACGGCUAACUACGUGCCAGCAGCCGCGGUAAUACGUAGGUGGCAAGCGUUAUCCGGAAUUAUUGGGCGUAAAGCGCGCGUAGGCGGCGAGAUUAGUCUGAUGUGAAAGCCCCCGGCUCAACCGGGGAAGGUCAUUGGAGACUGUUUCGCUUGAGUGCAGAAGAGGAGAGUGGAAUUCCAUGUGUAGCGGUGAAAUGCGCAGAGAUAUGGAGGAACACCAGUGGCGAAGGCGGCUCUCUGGUCUGCAACUGACGCUGAUGUGCGAAAGCGUGGGGAUCAAACAGGAUUAGAUACCCUGGUAGUCCACGCCGUAAACGAUGAGUGCUAAGUGUUAGGGGGUUUCCGCCCCUUAGUGCUGCAGCAAACGCA
rnacentral:rRNA from 1 species